GAUGAACGCUGGCGGCGUGCCUAAUACAUGCAAGUCGAGCGAAUGGAUUAAGAGCUUGCUCUUAUGAAGUUAGCGGCGGACGGGUGAGUAACACGUGGGUAACCUGCCCAUAAGACUGGGAUAACUCCGGGAAACCGGGGCUAAUACCGGAUAACAUUUUGAACCGCAUGGUUCGAAAUUGAAAGGCGGCUUCGGCUGUCACUUAUGGAUGGACCCGCGUCGCAUUAGCUAGUUGGUGAGGUAACGGGUCACCAAGGCAACGAUGCGUAGCCGACCUGGGAGGGUGGUCGGCCCCACUGGGACUGUGACAAGGCCCAGACUCCGACGGGAGGCAGCAGUAGGGAAUCUCCCACAAUGGACGAUAGUCUGACGGAGCAACGCCGCGUGAGUGAUGAAGGCUUUCGGGUCGUAAAACUCUGUUGUUAGGGAAGAACAAGUGCUAGUUGAAUAAGCUGGCACCUUGACGGUACCUAACCAGAAAGCCACGGCUAACUACGUGCCAGCCGCCGCAGUAA
rnacentral:rRNA from 1 species